CUGAAAAUCACCAACCUACACAAAUUUUCAUCAGACUGCACAGCCUGGGUAGUUUGCCUCAAACUAAAAGACGAAAGAAAUAGUCUAGGACUGCAUAGAUCUCUUAAGUUUAUUCUACAAAAGAGAUGAGCUCAUCAGUGAGAAGUUUUAGAGUGGAAAGAAAGAAAAUUUUACAGACAACAAUCUUAAGCCUCGAUGUCUCCUGAGCGCUAAAUGAGCUCUUACCAUUGGCAAUCGAUCGCUCAAUGAAACCAGACAUUUUCUGCAACUGUGGUUAAGGAUGGAGGUAAGUGCCACUUGUGUACCAAACCAAAUUUGGUCAGAAGGGAAUUGUG
rnacentral:lncRNA from 1 species